UACGUAGGCAGCAAGCGUUGUUCGGAAUACUGGGCGUAAAGCGUGCGCAGGCGGUGAUGUAAGACAGAUGUGAAAUCCCCGGGCUCAACCUGGGAACUGCAUUUGUGACUGCAUCGCUGGAGUGCGGCAGAGGGGGAUGGAAUUCCGCGUGUAGCAGUGAAAUGCGUAGAUAUGCGGAGGAACACCGAUGGCGAAGGCAAUCCCCUGGGCCUGCACUGACGCUCAUGCACGAAAGCGUGGGGAGCAAACAGG
rnacentral:rRNA from 1 species